rnacentral:rRNA from 1 species
GACAGAGGGUGCAAACGUUGCUCGGAAUCACUGGGCGUAAAGGGCGUGUAGGCGGGAAGGAAAGUCAGAUGUGAAAUCCCCAGGCUCAACCUGGGAACUGCAUUUGAAACUCCCUUUCUUGAGUGUCGGAGAGGAAAGCGGAAUUCCUGGUGUAGAGGUGAAAUUCGUAGAUAUCAGGAGGAACACCGGUGGCGAAGGCGGUUCUCUGGGCAUGUCCUGACGCUGAGGAGCGAAAGUGUGGGGAGCGAACAGG